rnacentral:rRNA from 1 species
GAGGCAGCAGUGGGGAAUAUUGCACAAUGGGGGAAACCCUGUUGCAGGGACGGCGCGUGAGAGAAGAAGUAUUUCGGUAUUGUAAAGCUCUAUCAGCAGGGAAGAAAAUGACGGUACCUGACUAAGAAGCACCGGCUAAAUACGUGCCAGCAGCCGCGGUAAUACGUAUGGUGCAAGCGUUAUCCGGAUUUACUGGGUGUAAAGGGAGCGUAGACGGCUGCGUAAGUCUGAAGUGAAAGCCCGGGGCUCAACCCCGGGACUGCUUUGGAAACUAUGCAGCUAGAGUGUCGGAGAGGUAAGUGGAAUUCCCAGUGUAGCGGUGAAAUGCGUAGAUAUUGGGAGGAACACCAGUGGCGAAGGCGGCUUACUGGACGAUGACUGACGUUGAGGCUGGAAAGCGUGGGGAGCAAACAGGAUGAGAUACCCUGGUAGUCCACGCCGUAAACGAAAAUUAUUAGGUGUUGGGGAGCAAAGUUCUUCGGUGCCGCAGCAACGCCAAUAAGUAGUCCCCCUGGGGAGUACUUUCGCAAGAAUGAAACUCAAAGGAAUGACGGGGGACCCGCACAAGCGGUGGAGCAUGUGGUUUAAUUUGAAGCAACGCGAAGAACCUUACCUGCUCUUGACAUCCCGGUGACCGGCAUGUAAUGAUGCCUAUUCUUCGGAACACCGGCGACAGGUGGUGCAUGGUUGUCGUCAGCUCGUGUCGUGAGAUGUUGGGUUAAGUCCCGCAACGAGCGCAACCCUUAUCUUCAGUAGCCAGCAAUUCGGAUGGGCACUCUGGAGAGACUGCCAGGGAUAACCUGGAGGAAGGUGGGGAUGACGUCAAAUCAUCAUGCCCCUUAUGAGCAGGGCUACACACGUGCUACAAUGGCGUAAACAAAGGGAAGCGAGCCUGCGAGGGUAAGCAAAUCUCAAAAAUAACGUCUCAGUUCGGAUUGUAGUCUGCAACUCGACUACAUGAAGCUGGAAUCGCUAGUAAUCGCGAAUCAGCAUGUCGCGGUGAAUACGUUCCCGGGUCUUGCACA